UGACGCUCUGUCAUCAUAAUAGUCUGGUGCUUUUUCCAAACAUUCAAAACACUUGGAAUAAGAUAUCCACUUUGUAUAUAGUUGUAGCACCUUUCAGUAAUGAACUGUACAUUUGCUUGUUGAAAAUAUUGCAGGAUUUUGGAUGGGCUGUUACCACUAAAUAAAAUACUGGCAGAUAGCAAGAGAUUACCCAAUGGCAUCUGACUAUGAUGACCACCACAGUGUCGACACUGAGAGAACAACUUUCUUAGACAGCUGUCAAAAACUAUAUAUUUUUUUUGAGUAACAUCAUUUUCCCUAUAACAUGGAAAAAUUACUUAUUUUUUAUAUGAAUGUUAUCUUGCUCUGUAAAAUACUUGAAAUGAA